rnacentral:rRNA from 1 species
UACGUAGGGGGCAAGCGUUGUCCGGAUUUAUUGGGCGUAAAGCGCGCGUAGGCGGCUUUGCAAGUCGGGUGUGAAAUCCCCAGGCUUAACCUGGGAACUGCAUUCGAGACUGCAUUGCUAGAGUAUGGGAGAGGGAAGUGGAAUUUCCGGUGUAGCGGUGAAAUGCGUAGAUAUCGGAAGGAACAUCAGUGGCGAAAGCGACUUCCUGGACCAAUACUGACGCUCAUGUGCGAAAGCGUGGGGAGCAAACAGG